GCCCGCAUAGCACAGUUGGUAGAGCAGUUGAUUUGUAAUCAUCAGGUCGGGGGUUCGAAUCCCUCUGCGGGCUCCA
rnacentral:tRNA from 1 species